GCAAUGGCUUCCUCGGGCCGGAUGGAGAUUGGCCCUCGAGUGCAAAGGCAGAGAAGAGAGCUUGACUGUAAGACGCACCUGUCGAGUAGGGAUGAAAGUCGACCUUAGUGAUCCGACGGUGCCGAGUGGAAAGGCCGUUGCUCA
rfam:Gossypium raimondii chromosome 13, whole genome shotgun sequence.